CUCACACUUCAGUAAAUUCCCUAUCUUAACAGUAAGCAGUCCAGCAUAUGCCUUUGCAUGUGCCAUAUGCGAUCUUCUCGAUUGAUCCUCAAGAACACUCGAUCUCUUAUCUGUAACCCAUCAUCUUCAACUCCAUAAUUGCAUCCCAUCUCAAAAAACUUCAUUAAAAAAAUCCCACUCCCUUUGUUUUGAAUAUUUUAACUCUUCACCAAACAAUGGAGUCUUUAUUUCCUCCCAUGAUUUCUUUUCCCAUCUCCAUGAAUGUUUCUGUCCAUCAGUUUCAUUAAAUUCUUGGCCUUUCUGGGACUCCUAGGUUUCUCUCUCUUCCUCUGCUCUAUUCUCAUGGAAAUCCCCGAGGGAACGGGAACCGUACCGGCAACAACUGAGGUUCAACUUGCCCAAAAGCACGUUUAUUCGUUGUGGGCGGUUCCACCGGAUGACGUUGCGGAGAGGCUCAAGAAAUUAAUGGACGGUCUGAGAUCGGAGUUCGGUGGUCCCCAGUUCGAGCCCCAUGUAACUGUUGUGGGGGCCAUUAGUUUAACGGAGCAUGAUGCUUUGGAGAAGUUUCGAUCUGCUUGUGAUGGGCUUAAGGCUUAUACUGCCACGGUCGAUCGAGUGGCCACUGGGACUUUCUUUUAUCAGUGCGUUUAUUUGCUCAUCCAUCCAGCGUCCGAGGUCGUGGGAGCUAGUGCACACUGUACUGGGCAUUUUGGGUACAAGAGUUCUGCUCCCUACAUGCCUCAUCUUAGUCUCUUAUAUGGAGAUCUAACAGCUGAUGAUAAGAAAAAGGCUCAAGAAAAGGCCAAUAUUCUUGACGAGAGCAUCAAUGGCCUGAGCUUCCAGAUAAGCCGCCUUGCACUGUGGAAAACAGACACUGAGGACAAUUCCUUGAAGUCGUGGGAGAAGAUUACAGAAUGUACUCUCAGUCCCAACUAGUUCCCCUUCUAUUAUUCUAAUUUGCAAUGUUCAAUCCGUAUUUUAUGUUCGACGGUAUACCAGUAAUUGUUAGUGUUAUUAUUGCAAAAAAUACAACCAUAUGCACUUGCAGAGGUUUGUAAUUAAAUUCACAUAAAGGAAUUCUCUGUUUAGACUUUAGAAUGUGGUUUGCCAUAGGCAGCUUCUGG
rnacentral:misc_RNA from 1 species